rnacentral:rRNA from 1 species
UGUAAGCGUAUACCAAAGUUGUUGCAGUUAAAACGCUCGUAGUCGGAAUUUGGCAGUUCCGGAAGUGUGCACGUCGUGUGCGCACUUUGCGGGGAAUGCUUUUGUGGUCUUGCGUAGGAUGAGGCACUUUCAUUAGUGAACGUCCUCACGCAACCACUCUUUACUGUGAGAAAAUCAGAGUGCUCAAAGCAGGCAUUUGCCGUGAAUGUAUUAGCAUGGAAUAAUAGAAUAGGACUCGGUUCUAUUUUGUUGGUUUGUUGGGACUGAGUAAUGAUUAAGAGGGACAGUUGGGGGCAUUUGUAUUCCGGCGCUAGAGGUGAAAUUCUUAGAUUGCCGGAAGACAAACUGCUGCGAAAGCGUCUGCCAAGGAUGUUUUCAUUGA